UGGGUUCCCCGUCGCGCUCUCCGGGAUGGUGGCCCCGGGCGACAGCAUCCGCCGCAGCAUCUCCUCCCAGGUCGCCGUCUCCGCCUUGCUGGCCAUCUCCCCCUCCCCUUCCUCCGGCGCAAAGGCGCAAUCCGCCGAACACCCGCCGGGCAAGGGCGCAAUCCAGCAAGACUCGGAAAAGCUCUAACCUUUGGUGGGGAAUUCCUCGGCUUUGCAGUCAUGGUCGCCGCCGUCGCCGCC
rnacentral:lncRNA from 1 species